rnacentral:rRNA from 1 species
CGGCGUGCUUAACACAUGCAAGUCUAAGGGAAAGCCCCGAUUCGUCGGGUGGAUACUGGCGAACGGGUGAGUAACGCGUAGAUUACUUGCCUCCGGGAUAGGGACAAUCCUGCGAAAGCGGGGCUAAUACCGAAUGAGAUUCUUUGGUUCGCUAAAAGAAUGAAAGAGGGCUUCGGCUCUCGCCUGGAGAUAGGUCUGCGUCUGAUUAGUUAGUUGGUGAGGUAAUGGCUCACCAAGACGACGAUCAGUAGCUGGUCUGAGAGGAUGAUCAGCCACACUGGGACUGAGAUACGGCCCAGACUCCUACGGGAGGCAGCAGUGGGGAAUUUUGCGCAAUGGACGAAAGUCUGACGCAGCAACGCCGCGUGACCGAUGAAGCAUUUAGGUGUGUAAAGGUCUGUCGUUGGGGAAGAAAAAGGUAGAUGUUAAUAAUUUCUACCGUUGACGGUACCCUUCAAGAAAGCUCCGGCUAACUCCGUG